UACGAAGGGUGCGAGCGUUGUUCGGAAUUACUGGGCGUAAAGGGUGUGUAGGCGGGUUUAUAAGAUAGCGGUGAAAUGCCUGGGCUUAACCGAGGAAUUGCCGUUAUAACUAUAGGCCUAGAGUGACAGAGAGGAUAUUGGAAUACCCAGUGUAGAGGUGAAAUUCGUAGAUAUUGGGUAGAACACCGGUGGCGAAGGCGAGUAUCUGGCUGUUAACUGACGCUGAGGCACGAAAGCAUGGGGAUCAAAC
rnacentral:rRNA from 1 species